rnacentral:pre_miRNA from 7 species
UUCCAAACUUAUGGGACGUUUUGUAAGACCCCUUUUCGGGGACCCCCACUCUAGUCUCGGGAGAGAGAGCACACCCAAAGAAACACGAGAAUCC